rnacentral:rRNA from 1 species
AUUGAACGCUGGCGGAAUGCUUUACACAUGCAAGUCGAACGGCAGCACGGGGGCAACCCUGGUGGCGAGUGGCGAACGGGUGAGUAAUGUAUCGGAACGUGCCCAGUCGUGGGGGAUAACGUAGUGAAAAUUACGCUAAUACCGCAUACGAUCUACGGAUGAAAGCGGGGGAUCGCAAGACCUCGCGCGAUUGGAGCGGCCGAUAUCAGAUUAGGUAGUUGGUGGGGUAAAGGCUCACCAAGCCAACGAUCUGUAGCUGGUCUGAGAGGACGACCGGCCACACUGGAACUGAGACACGGUCCAGACUCCUACGGGAGGCAGCAGUGGGGAAUUUUGGACAAUGGGCGAAAGCCUGAUCCAGCCAUUCCGCGUGCAGGAUGAAGGCCUUCGGGUUGUAAACUGCUUUUGUACGGAGCGAAAAGGCUCUCUCUAAUACAGGGGGCUCAUGACGGUACCGUAAGAAUAAGCACCGGCUAACUACGUGCCAGCAGCCGCCGUAACAC